UGACGAAAUACAUUCAAUAGGCAACAACACAGCUUCUUGGUCUUCUGCAGCUUUCUAAGACAUUUCAUCAACACUCCUCUUUGUCUUAACAGCAGCAGAUACCAAGCUUUCUUCGUAAAUCUUCAAAACUUGCUUUUGGAAGAGCUUUUGUUAGAACAUCUGCAAUCUGAUCAUUAGUUCUGCAAUAUAGCAGAGUAACUUCUUCUUCUUUCUGUGCUUCUCUCAGAAAAUAUAACUUGAUUUUGAAAUGCUUAGUUCAGCCAUGAAACACAGGAUUAUUUGCAAUAGAAAUUGCAGCUUGAUUGUCAACAUAAAUCUUUGUUGGUUCCAGUUUAUUCAUAUGCAGAUCAGCAAGAAUUUUCCUUAUCCAAAUAGCUUGAUUGACAGCAGCAGUAGCUGCUGCAUAUUCAACUUCAGCUGUGCUUUGAGCUAUAUUAUCUUGCUUCCUUGAACACCAAGAGAACAUGCCUGAUCCAAAACUAAAACAGUAGCCUGAGGUGCUCUUCAUGUCGUCCACAGAACCUGCCCAAUCACUAUCAGAGUACCCAUGCAGCAUGAAAUUCUGAAGAUGAGAGUAUUUUAUUCCAUAGCUUAUUGUACCUUUGACGUAUCUUACUAUCCUUUUUGUAGCUUGAAGAUGCAAUUCACUUGCACAAUGCAUAAAACGUGACAGCAAGCUCACAUCAAAUGCAAUGUCUGAUCUUGUAGCUCUUUCCAUGUGAAAUUUCUUCAAUAUCUCUUUAGCAUAUUUCUGUUGACAUAUGAAGAUUCCAUCAUCACUUUGUUUCACCUCCAUUCCAAGGAAGUAAGACAUCAACCCGAGAUCUGUCAUCUCAAACACAUCAAACAUCUCUGUCUUGAAUUCUUCAAUUUGUGUCUUAUUACUUCCUGUUACAAGUAAGUCAUCAACAUAAACAGAUACAAUAAUUAAGUUUGCAUCAACUCCUUUUACAUACAACGUUGCCUCACUUAAACUUUUAACAAAGCCAAGUUUAUGUAGAUGAUCAUCCAUUCUGCUAUACCAUGCUCUAGGAGCUUGUUUGAGGACAUACAAAGCCUUUUUCAGCAGGUAGACCUUCUCCUCUUGUCCCCUGACUUCAAAGCCUCUUGGUUGCUCUAUGUAAAUCUCCUCCUGCAGGUAUCCAUUUAAAAACGCAGACUUUACAUCCAGCUGAUAAACUUUCCAAUUCUUUUGUGCAGCAACUGCAAGUAGUAAUCUGAUUGUGUCCAAGCGUGCUACUGGUGCAAACGUUUAUGAAAAAUCCACACCAAACAUUUGAGCAUAGCCCUUCACAACUAAUCUGGCUUUGUAUUUGUUUAUAGAACCAUCUGCAUUUUGUUUGGUUCUAUAAACCCAUUUGACUCCUAUGGCCUUCUUGUGUAGAGGCUUGUCCAUCAGCACCCAUGUAUCAUUCUUUUCAAUCAUUCUAAGUUCCUCUUGCAUUGCUUCAAUCCAUUCACUCUUCUUUACUGCUUCUUCAAAUUCUGCAGGUUCACAGAUAGCAAUAUUGCUAUUUUCAUAAAUUUCAGCUAAUGAUCUUGUACCUCUUACUGGUUCAUCGUCAAUGUUGUUAUUAAUAAUCUCCAAAAUUAGAGAUUCUUGCUUCUCUGUUGAUGAUUCCAGCUUUUCUUCUGGUUUCUCCCACUUUCAUUGCUUAUUUUCCAUAAAGUUGACGUCUCUACUUACCAGAAUUCUUCCAUUUUGAGGUUGGAAGAUUCUGUAAGCUUUUGAUGGACUGCUGUAUCCAAUGAAUACUCUUGGUUCUGACUUCUUAUCCAGCUUAUCUCUUUUCACCUGUGGUACAUGAGUGAAACAAAUACAACAAAAAAUUUUCAAAUGUUGCAGGUCUGGUUUGUAUCCAAACCAAGCUUCAAAAGGAGUUUUUUUCUGCAAGGCUCUGGUUGGCAUUCUGUUCAGCAGAGACAUUGAGGUAUUUGCAGCUUCAGCCCAUAAUUUCUUUGGUAACUCUUUUUCGUGCAGCAUACAUCUAGUCAUUUCCAUGAUACUCCUGUUUUUUUUUUCACUUACACCAUUCUGUUGAGGUGUGUAAGGUGUAGUAAGCUGAUGUUCAAUUCCGGAUUCAUCACAGAAUUGCUGAAAUCUCCCACAGAUAUACUCCUUUCCAUUGUCUGAUCUUAAUGUCUGAAUCCUGCACCCAAUUUGGUUUUCCACCCAUGUUUUAUACUUCCAAAACACAUUAGCAACUUCUGAUUUGAAUUUAAGAAAGAAAAUCCAACAGAACCUGGAAUAAUCAUCAAUGAAGAUGAUAUAAUAUUUGCUGCCAUUCAGUGAAGCUGUACUCAGAGGACCUCCAACGUCUGCAAGUCAGGAACAACAUAGUUUUCUUCCACAGCUUCCCAGAGAUCUAGCGCCUCCAGAUGCACUGUCAUUCUGAUGGCCCAUGUUUCAUAGUUUUCACCAUUGAAGAUUGGUGGUGAACCGUGUGAGAUGAUUGUUUCAGAAUCCAUUUUGUGUUUUUUGGUUGUGUUUGUGGUUUGAUUUGGUUUGUGUUUUUGUUUUUCUCAACUCACAAGUCCC